rnacentral:tRNA from 1 species
GUCGCCAUCGUCUAGUCGGUCAGGACAGCAGCCUCUCAAGCUGCCGACACGGGUUCAAGUCCCGUUGGCGACGCCA